ACGAACGCUGGCGGCAGGCCUAACACAUGCAAGUCGAGCGCGCCCUUCGGGGUGAGCGGCGGACGGGUGGGUAACGCGUGGGAACGUGCCCUUUUCUACGGAAUAGCCUCGGGAAACUGAGAGUAAUACCGUAUACGCCCUUUGGGGGAAAGAUUUAUCGGAAAAGGAUCGGCCCGCGUUGGAUUAGGUAGUUGGUGGGGUAAUGGCCUACCAAGCCGACGAUCCAUAGCUGGUUUGAGAGGAUGAUCAGCCACACUGGGACUGAGACACGGCCCAGACUCCUACGGGAGGCAGCAGUGGGGAAUCUUAGACAAUGGGGGCAACCCUGAUCUAGCCAUGCCGCGUGAGUGAUGAAGGCCUUAGGGUUGUAAAGCUCUUUCAGCUGGGAAGAUAAUGACGGUACCAGCAGAAGAAGCCCCGGCUAACUCCGUG
rnacentral:rRNA from 1 species